UAUAUAUUUAUUUAUUUAUUUAUACCGAACGGUAUACCGUUAGGUAUAUUAUAUCGUACCGUACCGAGCGAAUGUCGAAACGCCUGUACGGUAUGAUAUUUUAAACCUUGAAUUUAAGUACCAUAAGGUCUACUGUUUACUAGCAAGGUAUAAUCGGAAGGAUACGUUUAAUCAGUGUUCUUUUACUAGCUAUUCCAUUUUUUAGACAUCUUAGUGUGCUGCUAGAACUUGAUCAUCUAGAACUUUAUCUGGACUUAAUUAUGUGGCUCAUCAAUCUUUCGUUAUUGAAUUAUAUUAGCAGUUGCUGGAUCUGUGCAUAAUAUUAUCCUUGUUUUUGUUUCUCACAUAUGAUGGUGUCAAUUCUGUUAUCUAUGUCAUUAUUAUGCUUAGAUUGAAAUUCUCCUUUUAGUAACAUGCACUAUAUUGAAAUUAAACAUCUCCUUUUGCAGAUUACUCUUUCCCACUACUGCACAUUCUGGUGUGAACUUGGCAGUUGAGUUCCAUUUGCUUGAUACCACUCCUUGCUUUUCAUACAUAUCCUUGUCAUCUACCACCUCUUAUGAAUUAAUGCAGUUCACAGUUGAAGUUCAACAACUUACCUGAGUCCACUCCAUUAUCUCUCGUCAGUUGGCUUUUGUAAUCGUGUGUCCUGAUCCUAUAAAAUUGGAAUCAAAUAGGCUAUUGAAGCGUUAGGCUCAAGAGCCAUUAUCUUUUCUGUGGAACUUUUCCUUUGUUCUCUGUUAUUGCAAGUGCUCUGCAUUUUGCUCAAAUGGUUUGUUAUGUUUAUUUAAUUUUCUGCUUCUUUUUACUUGGCUGCUUAUCUCAAGAUGUUCACCAAGCAGGCAUAAUGGUUACUUGCAGGUCCUAUGUCAUAUUACUUAUCCAAAUUGUGCAUGCUGCAGCUUCACUGCUCAUAGAUGCAGUGACGUCAGUGUUCUCCAUGUAGAAGAUUUCAGGAUCAUGUCUUGAUUUGUGACUUGUGAAACUUAUGUAUAUAAAGGAGAAAAUUUGGACGAAGCUUUUGUUUCUGUGUGUCUUGAUACGUAGUAAAUAAUUACUCGUGGAUUGGUUAUAAUGGUGUCUACAUCAGGUUUCUAUUUUAGUAUUUUACAAUUGGUUUGGCUUUUGUGUUGGAUUGCAUUUCUUUUUAUAAUUCAAUUUUUUUGAUGUUUUAGAACAUGUUGUAGAUGACCAUUGCAUACUGAUGAGCAAAUAUGGAGUUCCAGGUGGCCUAAUUCUUUAUGUUGAUUUCCAUUUUAUACUUCUUAAUAUGUAUGAUAACCAGAUUUCAAGUGUACAUUCCAGGAAGACAUCUGCUACCAGGCAUAACUCUGUAAAGAUAGAGAACUGGAGUUUUCCGUCUUUGGGGACAAUCUUCCAAAAGGCAGCACUGAUGUUUACCAUUCUGGCCUGCUUUUGCUGAUGAGUGCUGCUUGUUUGAUAUUUUGGACGAGCAGAGUUUGGUGGGAGAUGGUGGAUACAUCAACGACUCGGGCGAGAAGAGUCCAUUGUUAAAAAGCUUUGAAGUUGUGAUAUCAAUCUGCUAAUACAAUUGGUUAUGGUAUGCGGAAGGUCGACCUUGGAAAAGUGCAUGGGAGGGGGGUAACUACUACUCUCCUCAUCCUGUUCAUCCAGAACUCUUAAUGUUCAACAUUGUGCCAGGACAUGGUUGAAUGCUCAAUCUUAACAAUUCUCGUGGACUGCUGACGGAAGGGAAGACACGGCGGAGUGAUGGUUGGACAUGGGGCGGCAACGCAGCAGCGCAGAAAUCUUUGCAUGCCAGUGCUUGAUGGAUGGAAGAGCGGAGCAGCGGAGAGAGGAGGGCGGAGAUGGGGACUGGGAGGGGCUGAGCAUGGCAGGAGGGGAGCUGAGCUGUUGCGGCGGGCACCGGCGGUGCUGCGACGUGCUAUUUAUGUGCUUGGGAACACCCGGUUGGAUCUCCCAGUUGAAGGGAACGGAUCCAGGCCUCUUGAAGGAAUCAUCUCUGUCAAGCUCACUCUCUUCUGGCAUUCUGCAGCUCUUUGUGCUUUGUCUCCCCUUAGCCUGAGUUUUAUAGCGGAGUAAGAGUGUUCAAACCGGACUGGAAAAUCAAACCGGAAUAGAAUUAAUUAUUUGAUUUGAAUUGAUUUAUCAAUGAUUUGAUUUUAAAGGUUAUAAA